rnacentral:rRNA from 1 species
UACGUAGGUGGCAUGCGUUCUCCGGAAUUAUUGGGCGUAAAGCGCGCGCAGGCGGUUUCUUAAGUCUGAUGUGAAAGCCCACGGCUCAACCGUGGAGGGUCAUUGGAAACUGGGGAACUUGAGUGCAGAAGAGAAAAGCGGAAUUCCACGUGUAGCGGUGAAAUGCGUAGAGAUGUGGAGGAACACCAGUGGCGAAGGCGGCUUUUUGGUCUGUAACUGACGCUGAGGAGCGAAAGCGUGGGGAGCGAACAGG